rnacentral:pre_miRNA from 1 species
UCCCGGCCCAGCCUGAAAUUUGCUAAACCUGGUCCAUUACGCAAGCAAGGUGAGCAAAUAUUCAGGUGUGUCGAAGA